GCUAACUCCGUGCCAGCAGCCGCGGUAAUACGGAGGGGGCAAGCGUUACUCGGAAUUAUUGGGCGUAAAGGGCGCGUAGGCGGUCUCGUGCGUCAGGGGUGAAAUCCCCGGGCUUAACCCGGGACGUGCCUUUGAUACGGCGAGACUUGAGUCCGGGAGAGGGGAGCAGAAUUCCCAGUGUAGCGGUGAAAUGCGUAGAUAUUGGGAGGAAUACCAGUGGCGAAGGCGGCUCCCUGGACCGGUACUGACGCUGAGGCGCGAAAGCGUGGGUAGCAAACAGGAUUAGAUACCCCUGUAGUC
rnacentral:rRNA from 1 species